CGGUGUGAGUAAUGUCUGGGAAACUGCCUGAUGGAGGGGGAUAACUACUGGAAACGGUAGCUAAUACCGCAUAACGUCGCAAGACCAAAGAGGGGGACCUUCGGGCCUCUUGCCAUCGGAUGUGCCCAGAUGGGAUUAGCUAGUAGGUGGGGUAACGGCUCACCUAGGCGACGAUCCCUAGCUGGUCUGAGAGGAUGACCAGCCACACUGGAACUGAGACACGGUCCAGACUCCUACGGGAGGCAGCAGUGGGGAAUAUUGCACAAUGGGCGCAAGCCUGAUGCAGCCAUGCCGCGUGUAUGAAGAAGGCCUUCGGGUUGUAAAGUACUUUCAGCGGGGAGGAAGGCGAUAAGGUUAAUAACCUUGUCGAUUGACGUUACCCGCAGAAGAAGCACCGGCUAACUCCGUGCCAGCAGCCGCGGUAAUACGGAGGGUGCAAGCGUUAAUCGGAAUUACUGGGCGUAAAGCGCACGCAGGCGGUCUGUCAAGUCGGAUGUGAAAUCCCCGGGCUCAACCUGGGAACUGCAUUCGAAACUGGCAGGCUAGAGUCUUGUAGAGGGGGGUAGAAUUCCAGGUG
rnacentral:rRNA from 1 species